rnacentral:rRNA from 1 species
UACGUAGGUGGCAAGCGUUGUCCGGAAUUACUGGGCGUAAAGGAUGUGUAGGCGGAUAUUUAAGUGAGAUGUGAAAUCCCCGAGCUCAACUUGGGGGCUGCAUUUCAAACUGGGUAUCUAGAGUGCAGGAGAGGAAAGCGGAAUUCCUAGUGUAGCGGUGAAAUGCGUAGAGAUUAGGAAGAACAUCAGUGGCGAAGGCGGCUUUCUGGACUGUAACUGACGCUGAGGCAUGAAAGCGUGGGGAGCAAAC